GUGCCUUUAUGUGCAAACAUUUGGAGAGAUCAGGCAAAAUCCAUGGAAAACAAUAUGCCUCGGAGGAAUGUUUCCCUGAUGAACCGUGUAUUUCCCGCCAUCAGGAUGAUGUGCAGCUCCUGGAACAAUUCCCUCCAGCAUUCUACACCACUGUGCGCUGUUAUGGUGCCUCCAUGCCGUCUCCACCCGAAAUCGUUCUGCAGAGGAAAGUGGGGAACGUGUCUGUCGGCAGUGGGUCAAGGCCGUUUGGAUGUUCUGCGUGGGCUCUAAAAUGUACAGGGGCAGCUUGACCAGCUGGGGUCCUUCCUACUUUCCAGGGCUUGGUAAUUAGGAAAAUAAAUGCACCCCCAAAUUAGCAUUCUGAGAACACCCCACUCAUUUCUUUACAACAUGAAAAAAAAUUCUCAAUUCAUUCCAGGAAAAGUUGGCAGAUAAAAUACAAGAAGUGAAAGGUGAGAAAAUGGCUUUAAGAAAGAUUAAGAUGCUCUGUACAAGUCCCAGCUUGCCAUGGUGAAUGUAAUCGUUAUGCACUGAAUGUAUGUACUACGAAUAAAUAUGCAGGUAGAAACACAAAGACCCAGGAGGCUUGGUUAAUGAACACUUUUAUAUAAAUAAAAUAUAGGUACCCUAUAUUUUAUUUGCUAAAUCUGCCUACCAUUCUAUUGUGAUAAUUUCAUUUUUUUUUUUUUGUACCAGGGAUCGAACUUGGGACCUCGUACUUACAAGGCAGGCAGCAGAACC
rnacentral:lncRNA from 1 species